rnacentral:rRNA from 1 species
GAUGAACGCUGGCGGCGUGCCUAAUACAUGCAAGUCGAGCGAACGGACGAGAAGCUUGCUUCUCUGAUGUUAGCGGCGGACGGGUGAGUAACACGUGUAUAACCUACCUAUAAGACUGGGAUAACUUCGGGAAACCGUAGCUAAUACCGGAUAAUAUUUUGAACCGCAUGGUUCAAAAGUGAAAGACGGUCUUGCUGUCACUUAUAGAUGGAUCCGCGCUGCAUUAGCUAGUUGGUAAGGUAACGGCUUACCAAGGCAACGAUGCGUAGCCGACGUGAGAGGGGGGUAGGCCACAUUGGAACUGGGACAGGGACAAGACGCCUACGGGAGGGAGCAGUAGGGAACCUGAGGCAAUGGGCGGAAGCCUGACGGAGCAACGGCGCGUGAGUGAUGAAGGUCUUGGGAUCGUAAAACCGUGUUAUUAGGGAAGAACAGAUGUGGAAGGUGACGUGGACAGCGUGACGGUACCUAAUCAGAAAGCCACGGCUAACUACGUG